rnacentral:snRNA from 1 species
UCUGGUCUCCCUCUUCAGAUCGCAUAAAUCUUUCGCUUUUUACUAAAGAUUUCCAUGGAGAGGGGGGGGACUACUUGAAGAGUUUGUUUUAUACAAUAUUCAAAUCAUU